AUAUGAUUGAAACUCAUUGAUUUGUCUCAAUCCUUGAACAUUGGGAUUGAUUAAAAUUCAACAAUCAAUCCUAAAAAUCGUGAUAUUUGAAGAUGACAAUGAAGUGUUGGAACAAAAUGAUCACACCAAUGAGGAAAGCUUGGACCAAAUUUUCGAGAAAGAUCGGUCUUUGUGAAUCUUCAGGACACAUAAAAUUGCAGCGCGACGUGAAGUCAUGUGAGUACGAGGAUGUCCACGUGCUGUGGGAGAUGCUGAAUAAGAGCAGACAAACACGGAGAACUAGUUCGUUGUGGAAGUUUGUAGAUCGUUGCCGCUCUUGCUAAACAUUGUGUAUUUUUGUUCUCUUGUAGCAAUCAUUUUUUUCCCAACUUGAGUGAUUUAGAAUGCAAAUUAAAUGUAUAUUGUGUUUAUAUGUGAUUGUGAAUGUGAGAUCUUCGAAA